UUCAAAUAGAAAAAAAAAUGAUGCGCUGGAAAUGGCCGGGAUAGCUCAGUUGGUAGAGCAGAGGACUGAAAAUC
rnacentral:tRNA from 1 species